AUGAACGCUAGCUAUAGGCUUAACACAUGCAAGUCGAGGGGAAACGGCAUUAUGUGCUUGCACAUUUUGGACGUCGACCGGCGCACGGGUGAGUAUCGCGUAUCCAACCUGCCCUUUACUUGGGGAUACCCCGUUGAAAGACGGCCUAAUACCCGAUGUAAUUCAUUGAUGGCAUCAGAUAUGAAUAAAAGAUUUAUCGGUAAAGGAUGGGGAUGCGUCUGAUUAGCUUGUUGGUGAGGUAACGGCUCACCAAGGCGACGAUCAGUAGGGGUUCUGAGAGGAAGGUCCCCCACAUUGGAACUGAGACACGGUCCAAACUCCUACGGGAGGCAGCAGUGAGGAAUAUUGGUCAAUGGGCGCAAGCCUGAACCAGCCAAGUAGCGUGCAGGAAGACGGCCCUAUGGGUUGUAAACUGCUUUUAUACGAGAAUAAUUUGAUGCACGUGUGCGUUAUUGCAUGUAUCGUAUGAAUAAGAACCGGCUAAUUCCGUG
rnacentral:rRNA from 1 species